UCCCACCGCAACAAGGGUAUCCCCCAUAAGGAUACACACUACAACAAGGGCACUCUGCUCCACAUAGUUCAGGAGAAAGUGGAAUCUUGCGGUGAAGAAAAAGAAACGGAAAAAGAAAAAGAAAGCUCACCCGAUACUGGAUCCACCUGAAGUUUGAAGCUUUUCAGGAAGACGGUCGUGGUAAUAAGUUCACUGGAUACUGUUAUUUAUCCUUUUUCUAAAAUUUGAAUCCCGAAUAUUUUUUUACCAGUCAUAUCUGCUUGAUAUUCACCCGUUGUAUUGUUGAUUUGCGUUUACAAGUAUGUAUGUUAUUUUUGCUUGAUCCGCCAAGUCUCAAUGAAAUCAGUUAAGAGAAUA